GAGGAUUAGCUGAGGGGAGAGAAUGCAGAAAUAGAGGUCCAGAAAUCCAGGCGCAUUCUCCCUACCUCCCGUCUGCCCUCAGGUGAGCAGCCUCUGCCUCCCAAAUAUUUUAUUUCUGCUGAGAAUAGAUUAAUAAAACUACUACUUAGUUUGCACGGCCCAGAACAAAAUGAUGUGGACUCCUUGUUCAAAGAGUAGAAUUUUUAUGACAGACAGCAUCCACUGCGUGGGAGUCACUGAAGUCUGUGUUAAUAAUGUGCAAGCUGUCUGUCAGUGAUGCCAGUAUGACUCUUAAUUUAACACUUCUGUGAGUCUCAGGUGUCCUCGAUGCCAUCUUCAUGGACUCGGGGAGGUAGCUUUACAUCUCCAAACUUCAGGAUCCACAUGUGCAAGAUGACAAGAGGUGAUCAACCUUGUUCUGCACGCCCUUUGCUGCCAUGGAGUGCUUCUUCAUCUCAGACCUAAAGCAAUAGGGCCAGCGGACUUUAAAGUGACAGGUCCAAAACUGGGAGAUGAUUCUUUCCUCAGAGAAGCUGAUAUUCCCAGGCAUUUUGGUCUAGCAAUGAGCAAGUGAUGACUUCAUCAUCUACCUGAAGAUUGGAUCCACUGACAUCCAUGGAAGUGCCUUCAGCCUUCUCACAGAGCGGUGU
rnacentral:lncRNA from 1 species